rnacentral:ncRNA from 1 species
GACAGUAAAGGGCAAACUUAUUGAAAAAUAAGGACGCAAAGUCACAGGUCUAAGGUUUAAUUACUAUGAUGGCUGGACUGCCUGA